UACCUCCCUCUUUAUGACUGUCUUCUGUGC
rnacentral:piRNA from 1 species